GACGAACGCUGGCGGCGUGCCUAAUACAUGCAAGUCGAGCGAGACUCUUCGGAGUCUAGCGGCGGACGGGUGAGUAACACGUGGGCAACCUGCCUGUAAGACUGGGAUAACACCGGGAAACCGGUGCUAAUACCGGAUAAUCCUUUUCCUCUCAUGAGGAAAAGUUGAAAGUCGGUUUCGGCUGACACUUACAGAUGGGCCCGCGGCGCAUUAGCUAGUUGGUGAGGUAACGGCUCACCAAGGCGACGAUGCGUAGCCGACCUGAGAGGGUGAUCGGCCAGACUGGGACUGAGACACGGCCCAGACUCCUACGGGAGGCAGCAGUAGGGAAUCUUCCACAAUGGACGAAAGUCUGAUGGAGCAACGCCGCGUGAGCGAUGAAGGCCUUCGGGUCGUAAAGCUCUGUUGUUAGGGAAGAACAAGUACCGGAGUAACUGCCGGUACCUUGACGGUACCUAACCAGAAAGCCACGGCUAACUACGUGCCAGCCGCCGCAGUAAGAC
rnacentral:rRNA from 1 species